GUGGGGAAUAUUGGACAAUGGGCGCAAGCCUGAUCCAGCAAUGCCGCGUGGGUGAAGACGGCCUGCGGGUUGUAAAGCCCUUUAGGCGGGGAGGAACGGCGUCGUGCGAACAGUGCGGCGUUCUGACGUUACCCGCGGAAUAAGCACCGGCUAACUCCGUGCCAGCAGCCGCGGUAAUACGGAGGGUGCGAGCGUUAAUCGGAAUUACUGGGCGUAAAGCGUGUGUAGGCGGUAAAGUUAGUCAGCCGUGAAAGCCCUGGGCUUAACCUGGGAACGGCGGUUGAGACGGCUUAACUCGAGUGGGCUAGAGGAUCGUGGAAUUCCGGGUGUAGCGGUGAAAUGCGUAGAGAUCCGGAGGAACACCGAUGGCGAAGGCAGCGGUCUGGGGCCACACUGACGCUGAGACACGAAAGCGUGGGGAGCAAACAGGAUUAGAUACCCGUGUAGUCC
rnacentral:rRNA from 1 species